GACAGAGGGGGCAAGCGUUGCUCGGAAUUACUGGGCGUAAAGGGCGCGUAGGCGGGAUGGCAAGUCGGUCGUGAAAUCCCUCGGCUCAACCGAGGAACGUCGAUCGAUACUGCUGUUCUUGAGGAUUGCAGAGGAGACUGGAAUUCCCGGUGUAGCGGUGAAAUGUGUAGAGAUCGGGAGGAACACCGGUGGCGAAGGCGGGUCUCUGGGCAAUUCCUGACGCUGAGGAGCGAAAGCGUGGGGAGCAAACAGG
rnacentral:rRNA from 1 species